rnacentral:rRNA from 1 species
UACGGAGGGUGCAAGCGUUAUCCGGAUUUACUGGGUUUAAAGGGUGCGUAGGUGGGUCUGUAAGUCAGUGGUGAAAUCUCCGGGCUUAACCCGGAAACUGCCAUUGAUACUAUAGGUCUUGAAUAUCCUGGAGGUGAGCGGAAUAUGUCAUGUAGCGGUGAAAUGCUUAGAUAUGACAUAGAACACCAAUUGCGAAGGCAGCUCACUACGGGAUUAUUGACACUGAGGCACGAAAGCGUGGGGAUCAAACAGGA